CUCCAGCUUCUCUCACUGCAGCCAGAAACAGUCUCCUUGACCAGAACAUAAAACAUCUGCCAGCAUCCCAAUCCAGCUCACAAGACAGUUAUCUGCUCUUUCAGAACACUUCUGCCCCAACCCUGGCCACCGGGCCUGGGGACUUGGAAGGUUCCUUGUCCAACCACUGUGAAGAAUUUUAAAGUUUGCAUCGAGACAGCCCUGACCUUCACCCAGCAAAACCCACUUGAGAAACUCCACAGCAGUUUAAGGGACCUUGUGCGCCAGCUCACAAAUGGGCUUGUGUCCUUCUGUUUGUCUUUUGGUUAUUGCAGUACAGCUCACAAAAAGAAUGCCAUCAAUGUCUGGUUGGUAUAAUAAAAACAUAAAUACAUUUAUAGCUUUCAGAAUAUAUAUUUAAAAAAAACCUCUCUGGCAAUAUGGCAGGUGCAAUACUGGAUUUCUUCUUAAACUCUAUCCUGCACUCUUAGGGUAAAACACCACACUUUUUUGCAGUUAAUAACAGCUAUAGACUUUCCUUGGGGCCAGUGCUGCUGGCCCAUCCCUUAUUUCUCCCUGAAGCUACUGGCAGCAAUUUCUCAUCCCAACAGUGGUGUAGCUGCAUAUUUGUGUUUCAUAUUAUUUUCAAUGUUUGUUACUUCACAACAGAAGAAGUUUCAAAGACUAUUUUUAAGAGAGCAGCUUGUUAAGUGCUUUUUCCCUCCUCCGUGUGUUACCUGGCUAGAUUAACCAGAAUAUAGUAUUCUAAUGUUCUUUUAUUUCUUUUUUUUUUUUUUCUUGAGGGUGAUAAAGUCCAUUAACAGAUUUUCUGGCUCUUCUUUUUCUAAAAGAAUAAUUAUAUAAUGGUUGCAACUUCUGAGCCUUAAUGAGUGUCCAAUGAUAUGCUGAAAAUUUUAUAUUUAUUGUGGAAUAUAAUCAACACAAGAACUGUAUGAGGCUCAUAGUUCCAUUUUGCAGGCAGGGUUUAGAAAAAUGUAGAAAUCUACUCAGGCCUGUACACCUGCUACUCAUUCUGUAAUGACCAAAUCCCUAAUCCUUACCAUCACCUGAGGUCAGCCAUUGUUUCGGGUUACUAAAGAGUCUAGUUUUCAGCCUGGCUGUUAGCAAGGUGCACUGAGAACCAUACGUCACUAGUAGUCUGCAGGACAC
rnacentral:lncRNA from 1 species